CAAUAGCGUAUAUUAAAGUUGUUGCAGUUAAAAAGCUCGUAGUUGGAUUUCUGGUGGGAGCGAUCGGUCUGGCGCUUAGCGCGAGUACUUGCAUCGUCUCCGGCCAUCCUUGGGGAGAGUCUGUCUGGCAUUAGGUUGUCGGGAAGAGGAUCCUCAUCGUUUACUGUGAAAAAAUUAGAGUGUUCAAAGCAGGCUUAUGCCGUUGAAUAUAUUAGCAUGGAAUAAUAAGAUAGGACUUUGGUACUAUUUUGUUGGUUUGCGCACCAAAGUAAUGAUUAAUAGGGACAGUUGGGGGUAUUCGUAUUCCGUUGUCAGAGGUGAAAUUCUUGGAUUUACGGAAGACGAACUACUGCGAAAGCAUUUACCAAGGAUGUUUUCAUUAA
rnacentral:rRNA from 1 species